rnacentral:tRNA from 1 species
UGCUCUUGUAGCCCAAUUGGUAGAGGUGGCAGAUUUAAAAUCUGUUUAUGUGUGGGUUCGAGUCCCACCAAGAGCAUC